CCUACGGGAGGCAGCAGUGGGGAAUAUUGGGCAAUGGGCGCAAGCCUGACCCAGCAACGCCGCGUGAAGGAAGAAGGCUUUCGGGUUGUAAACUUCUUUUCUCAGGGACGAAGAAAGUGACGGUACCUGAGGAAUAAGCCACGGCUAACUACGUUCCAGCAGCCGCGGUAAUCCGUAGGUGGCACGCGUUAUCCGGAUUUAUUGGGGGUAAAGGGCGUGUAGGCGGGAGCGCAAGUCAAAUGUGAAAACUCAGGGCUUAACCCUGAGCCUGCAUUUGAAACUGUGUUUCUUGAGUGGUGGAGAGGCAAGCGGAAUUCCGGGUGUAGAGGUGAAAUGCGUAGAUAUACGGAGGAACACCAGUGGCGAAGGCGGAUUGCUGGACAGUAACUGACGCUGAGGCGCGAAAGCGUGGGGAGCAAACAGGAUUAGAUACCCGAGUAGUC
rnacentral:rRNA from 1 species